UCCGUAGGUGGAUAAUUAAGUCAGAGGUGAAAUCCUGCAGCUCAACUGUAGAAUUGCCUUUGAUACUGGUUAUCUUGAGUCAUUAUGAAGUGGUUAGAAUGUGUAGUGUAGCGGUGAAAUGCAUAGAUAUUACACAGAAUACCGAUUGCGAAAGCAGAUCACUAAUAAUGUACUGACACUGAGGGACGAAAGCGUGGGGAGCGAACAGGAUUAGAUACCCUGGUAGUC
rnacentral:rRNA from 1 species